AAUAAGAUCAUUUUUCGGUUUUUAGAUACAAUAUUUUGAUUUUUCGUCUUAUUUGAAUUUUUUCGUGAUUAAUAUUUUUAUUCUUACUACAUGAUAAAACAUGAAUAGUACUUUAUGCGUGGCUAAUUUUUUUAUUUUUUUAUAAAUUUUUUAAAUAAGACGAAUUGUCAAACGUUGGACACGGAAAA
rnacentral:pre_miRNA from 1 species